GACUCUGAGCCGCCCCAACCCUUUCAACGUUAAUUUUCCAGUUCGGGCUGAGAUUUCACAGUGUUUUUAUUAUCUUCAGUCUUUGCUACACCAUUUCGGGCAACUCAUUAAUGGGAGUUCGUCUCAUUCUCCCUCUGCAGCUAUGUCUAACGCUCAAAGUGAAGUGUUCAAAUCGUUGGCGAAAGGAUCGCUGCUCCGCAACAGUUUCCCGAACGAGUCCAAUGGACUAUAUUUCCUCUAGCAUUAGGUGUUGGGCUAGGGCCCGACAUAACUCUCUCUCGAGUCAGCCCAUUGGCAAGAACCAGCAGCCCUAUAACAUCAACUCAGCAGCAGAUCGAAGCAACAUGAUUUGGACAAAGAAUCCACUUAGCUAAAAUUCUUCCUUCACUUUAUUUCAUUUCAUUAUGUUAAUUGUGUUGUAAAAAAUGACUAACACUGUACUUUGUUUUACUUUUCUUAACCCAAUUGAAUCCCCAGGCAGGAAUGUGUGAACAUAGUCGCCAAAACGAUUAAGUGAUGUCUUAUUACAAUUUUGUCGUUUUAAACAGUCACAAAAGUGUUUAUA